UACAGGUGCUGCAUGGCUGUCGUCAGCUCGUGCUGUGAAGUGCUGGGUUAAGUCCCGCAACGAGCGCAACCCUAUCAUCUGUUGCCAGCAUUUAAGGUGGGGACGUCAGAUGAGACUGCCGGUGACAAACCGGAGGAAGGUGGGGACGACGUCAAGUCAUCAUGGCCCUUAUGCCCUGGGCUACACACGUGCUACAAUGGCCGGUACAGAGUGAAGCGAAACCGCGAGGUGAAGCAAAACGCAGAAAGCCGGUCUCAGUACGGAUUGGAGUCUGAAACUCGACUUCAUGAAGUUGGGAUCGCUAGUAAUCGCGCAUCAGCAUGGCGCGGUGAAUACGUUCCCGGGCCUU
rnacentral:rRNA from 1 species